rnacentral:rRNA from 1 species
AGAGUUUGAUCCUGGCUCAGAGUGAACGCUGGCGGCGUGCUUAACACAUGCAAGUCGAACGCGAAAGGGGAGCAAUCCCCGAGUAGAGUGGCGAACGGGUGAGUAAUGUGUGGGUAAUUUGCCUUUCAGCGGGGGAUAACCCGGGGAAACCUGAGCUAAUACCCCAUAAUGUUGCUUGACCUUCGGAUCGAGUAAUCAAACGAUGGCCUCUGCUUGCAAGCUAUCGCUGAAAGAUGAGCCCACAUCCUAUCACGCUUGUUGGUGGGGUAAUGGCCUACCAAGGCGACGACGGGUAGCCGGCCUGAGAGGGUGUACGGCCACACUGGAACUGAGACACGGUCCAGACUCCUACGGGAGGCAGCAGUGGGGAAUUUUUCGCAAUGGGCGAAAGCCUGACGAAGCAACGCCGCGUGUAGGAUGAAGGCCCUAGCGGUCGUAAACUACUGUCUAGCGGGACGAAAGUAUUCGGAGUGAACAAUUCCGAAUAUUGACUGUACCGCUGGAGGAAGCUCC